GAUGAAGAACGUAGCGAAAUGCGAUAAGUAAUGUGAAUUGCAGAAUUCAGUGAAUCAUCGAAUCUUUGAACGCACAUUGCGCCCCCUGGUAUUCCGAGGGGCAUGCCUGUUCGAGCGUCAUUAUAACCCCUCAAGCUCAGCUUGGUGUUGGGGCCUGCUGCACUGGCAGCCCUUAAAAUCAGUGGCGGCGCCAUCUGGCUCUAAGCGUAGUAAUUCUUCUCGCUAUGGAGUCCUGGUGGAUGCUUGCCAUCAACCCCCAAUUUUUCUAUGGUUGACCUCGGAUCAGGUAGGGAUACCCGCUGAACUUAAGCAUAUCAAUAAGCGGAGGA
rnacentral:misc_RNA from 1 species